rnacentral:rRNA from 1 species
CAGCCGCCACGGUAAGACGAACCGUGCGAACGUUAUUCGGAAUCACUGGGCUUAAAGCGCGUGUAGGCGGGAGGGCACGUCCGUCGCUGAAAUCCCCCGGCUCAACCGGGGAACGGGCGCGGAUACGACUCUUCUGGAGGAACGUAGGGGGACCUGGAACUUCCGGUGGAGCGGUGAAAUGCGUUGAGAUCGGAAGGAACGCCCGUGGCGAAAGCGAGGUCCUGGACGUUUACUGACGCUGAGACGCGAAAGCCAGGGGAGCGAACGGGAUUAGAUACCCCGGUAGUCCCUGUCUCUUAUA